ACAUCCCUUUGCCAAGACUCGACUCUCUUUCGCUCUCACACCCCUCCCACACUCGCCCCCCGCCUCCCUCCUCGUCAGCUCUGUCGCGCCAUCUCGACCCCCUGUGCCAUCGCUUCUCCUGCCCAUCUCCGCCUCACCUCUCUCACAUUUGUUUGCCGGGAGAUCAGAAAAAUGGCUUUUAAACUUGCCCUUGUUGUAUACGUGGUCCUCCAGUUCCUCGCCUUCUUUUCGUUGCUGGUGGGUAUACCGCUUGACAUGUUUCGCAUUGAUCCCUCGAUCCGUUUGGCGGCCGUGUUUGCGUGACGUUAUGGGGCGCAAAGCCGGACUGCAGGAAUGUCAAAGUAGGCAUUGACGUGGACACCCGGUGGAGGUAUUGCCCGACGCGCGUCAAACGUUUUCAUGUUGCUCAGGCGUUUGCUGUGAUCUCCGUCUUUGUGUACGGCGCAGCGUUCCUUUUUGGCUUGUUUUUGCUGUGGUGCUGCUCUGCCUUUCGCUGGGUCUGCCUGGCCCUCAACAUCGUCGGCAUCGGCACCGUGUGCGUCGUCUGGGUGCUGAUGGUGAAGGUCUACAACACAGAGGGAGAGAAGUGCUUGGCUCUGAGAAGAGACUACGUGUUUGGUGCCGGUUUCGGUCUCUUUUUGUUUGCCUGGGUGCUGGAUAUCAUCGACAUCUUCUUCUUGCUGCUGCCAUUAGAGGCCAAGCAGGACAGUGAGAGUACAAAGUCGGACGACUACCGAGAACAGGAGUAGGCAGCCAAGAGCGGAAGGAGGCGGGGUGCGCUGCUGCAGUGUAUGGGAGGGUCUGCUGCCUUGCUCAUGGCAGAACGACACGUGGCCAAAAAAGUCGAGUUUGUUUUCACACGGUCUCUCCCCGGUGUGUCUCUUUUCGUCCUUCUGUGCUUUCUUCAUUUUUGCUGUUUUCAUCGGUACCGCGAUCUGCCCUUUGUGGUGAGCAACGCACGCAUGGCACCGACAAGCCCGCCCAUGCCCCCUUCCCCCUCUCUGCCCCUCGCCUUCACUAUCUCCUCGACAUCGCCCCCCUCCCGCUCACCCGACGCACCUUUGCGAAGUGAAGAAGCAAAGGACGCAGCAAGAUGCCCACACGGUCGCCGCAGGCCGGAGAAUCAGCGGGGGGGGAGGGGAGGAGAGAGGAGAGCGGGCAAAACGGAGGGGGCAGGCAAACGCAAAGGCGGGCGGGGGAAACCGAUGCCCUCGCGCGAAGGACGGGAAACGCAGCGCCACGCCGCAUCGGUCACCCGCCUCCGUCCCACCCCCAUCCAUACCCCAUAGCUGAGAUCGCGCGUCUUUCUGGCGCUUCUCUCUCGCGUGCCCUUUGGCCCUCGUCGCUGCCUCUCCUCCCUCACACACGCCUCAUGGACUACUUGAACGGAGAAGGGCGAGGGGCGGGGGGGGGCGAGGCGCCACAGGGGGUGGCUGCAGGGGGGCGGGGUAGGAAUCAGGCAAGCUGAUGAGCAAGCGCACCGGGGAGGCCAGAGGACAGCGUCUGUGCGCACAGCAGCGGCGCACAGAUGCAUGCACGAACCAGGAGAAACGAUGACAGCACUCGCUCCUCCUCUUUCUGUGCUCCUCAUGCACGGUGCGUGCGCGUGCACAAGAGGACACCCCCACCGUGCAAGGGCGUGUGGGGUCGGGGGAGGCAGCGGAGGAGAGGGCAAGACGGACUGGGGAAGGAGGGAAGCUCUCUGAGGCAUGAAGGCCGACCAUACGUCGGGCAUACGUGCGUCACGUGUGCGCAUGCUCGUGCGUGUGGGCGCGUGCACCCUUGUGACCCCGCUCCCCCUCCCAUGAGUGUCGCGCUCCACGUUGCCCUUCUCUUGCUGCUGCGGCUCUCCCGUGCUCCUGGAACUCACAGGAGGACACCAAAAAGCACCACGACGACACGGAGAAGAAAAUCGAGCACCGCCUCGAUCUCCUCUGCUGUCGUGGUUUUCUUUUCUCGCUUCUGUUGUUUGCAGCUUGCUGCCCCGCGUUUUCGUUUUCUUUGUCGUUUUCAUUAUUAUUUUUUCUUUCUGUCGCUUCUCGCUUUCUUCUCUCGUUCCUCCGCAGAAACUUCGUAUGGACUUGUGCGUGCGUGUGCCUCUCUGCCUUUUCUCUCUUGUUGUCGUUGUGCGCUGCUGCCCUUGUUUCUGUUUCGCUCUGUGCGCAGGCGACAGGCUGAUGGAGAGGAUG
rnacentral:misc_RNA from 1 species